rnacentral:lncRNA from 1 species
GUGAAAGCAGCAAACAGGAAAAUAGCACAAGGGCAACAGUCAGAAGAGAGAAAAGGGUAAGGAACAGGUUUACCACCACUCAGCUGUGAGCUCUUUCAUAUCAGAUCUUAUUCAGCUUUGAUUGACUCUAAAUAUACAUCCUGCAUCUCUCUGAGCCAGGCUGUGUUCGGAGUUGGAGAUACAACAUGGAAUAAGAAAGUCCCUGCCUGCAUAAACCUUGCACUCCAGUAAAGGACAAAGACAAAAGGAAACAAACUGGCAUUAAAGGGGACAGCGGGAUUACCAAGACAGCAAAUCACAAAAGGGGUAUAUUUUAGGAAGGACAGCUGGGAAAGCUUUCUCUGAGGUGUCGCUAAGUAAGCUGAGACCUAGAAGAGAAGGAGUGGGCCAUGUGAGGAGUGAUGGGCAACUCCAGGCAGCAGGAGUCAAGCAUAUGAAGGCCCAGGGUCAAGAAAGACCUGGUACAUUCAAGAAAACAAGGGAAGGUGGGGCUGGCACAUCGUGAGUGAAGGGCACUCGGGAGCAGAUGAGAUUGAAUAGGCACGAACUAGAUCAUUUAAGUCUUCGUGGGCAUCAGAUGUUU